GACGAACGCUGGCGGCGUGGAUUAGGCAUGCAAGUCGAGCGGGAUCCGCUUCUUUCAAUUCUUCGGAAGAGAAUUUUGCGGUGAGAGCGGCGAACGGGUGAGUAAUGCGCAAACAACUUGCCCCUAGGUUGGGGAUAGCCCUUCGAAAGGGGGAUUAAUACCGGAUGUGGUCGUCCCGCAUAAGCGGGAUUUUCUAAAGGUGCCUCGCAAGAGGUGUCGCCUAGGGAUGGGUUUGCGUUCCAUCAGCUUGUUGGUGGGGUAACGGCUCACCAAGGCUAUGACGGAUAGCUGGUCUGAGAGGAUGGUCAGCCACACUGGGACUGAGACACUGCCCAGACUCCUACGGGAGGCUGCAGUCGAGAGUCAUUCACAAUGCGCGAAAGCGUGAUGAUGCGACGCCGCGUGGAGGAUGAAGGCCUUCGGGUUGUAAACUCCUGUCAUGAGGGAACAAAGCUGUCGGGUUAAUACCCCGGCAGUGUGAUGGUACCUCAAGAGGAAGUCACGGCUAACUCUGU
rnacentral:rRNA from 1 species